GAUGAACGCUGGCGGCGUGCCUAAUACAUGCAAGUCGAACGCUUCACUUCGGUGAAGAGUGGCGAACGGGUGAGUAAUACAUAAGUAACCUGGCAUCUACAGGGGGAUAACUGAUGGAAACGUCAGCUAAGACCGCAUAGGUGUAGAGAUCGCAUGAACUCUAUAUGAAAAGUGCUACGGGACUGGUAGAUGAUGGACUUAUGGCGCAUUAGCUUGUUGGUAGGGUAACGGCCUACCAAGGCGACGAUGCGUAGCCGACCUGAGAGGGUGACCGGCCACACUGGGACUGAGGCACGGCCCAGACUCCUACGGGAGGCAGCAGUAGGGAAUUUUCGGCAAUGGGGGAAACCCUGACCGAGCAACGCCGCGUGAAGGAAGAAGUAAUUCGUUAUGUAAACUUCUGUCAUAGAGGAAGAACGGUGGAUAUAGGGAAUGAUAUCCAAGUGACGG
rnacentral:rRNA from 1 species